rnacentral:lncRNA from 1 species
CAGGUGCCGUGUCCAUGACAACCGCGUUACCCUUUGGGCGGGGACCUGGAGGGGAAUCUCUUGGAGCUGCCAGGCAGUCUGGGCGGGGAUGGGUUCCUAAGCAGCCAGAAUUGAUGUCCAAGGUGUUUAAGACCCGCUGUUUGUCCUCGAGUUUGUCCUCGACAGCAAGGAAUAUAUACACCUGCCAGCCACCUGCACUCCGGCUUUUGGGUGGUGGAAUGUAACGAUAAUUGAGGGACAAUGGUACAAAUCUACAUAAAAGGAGCAGAAAUGAAACUAUGUAGCAAAUAAGGGGGUGUUCCAUUUAAAACAGAAGAUAUCAAAGGACUAUUAUCUAGAAUAUAUAAAGAACUCAAAAAACCAGCCCCCCAAAUAUAAAGACCCAAUUCAAAAAUGGGCAUCUGAAAUGAACAGACAUUUCUCAGACAAAGAAGUAAAAGCAUCAACUAAAUAUAUGAAAAAAUGUUCCACAUCAUUAGUCAUUUGAGAUCUGCAGAUGAAAACAACACUGAGAUUCCACCUCACCCCACAAAGAAUGGCUGCUAUCAAGAAAUCACACAAUAACAAAUGUUGGCGGGGUUGUGGGGAGAAAGGAGCCCUUCUCCAUUGUUGGUGGGAGUGCAGACUAGUGCAACCACUAUGGAAAUAAAUAUGGAGAUACCUCAAAGAGCUAGGAUUAGAGGUUCCAUAUGACCCAGCCAUCCCUCUUCUGGGUGUCUUUCCAAAAGAAUUAAAAGAAUCAUAUCACAGUGAUAUAUGCUCACCCAUGUUUACAACGGCACAGUUUGUAAUAGCUAAAACUUGCAACAGUCCAUUUGCCCAGUAGUUGGAGACUGGAUAAAGAAGAUGUGGUUUUUCUAUAACAUGGAAUACUACUCAGCCAUAAAGAAUGAGAAAUUACAGUCAUUCAUAGGAAAAUGGAUAAAUAUUGAUGAUAUAUAUUCCUAAAUGAAAUAAAUACGUCACACAUGUGUAAAGACUGAAUAGUUUCUCUGGUGUGAAAAACUAUAAUUGUACAUAAGAUCCUAAUGGUAUAAUUUACAAUGUGAAAUAGAAGUAAAGGGGCUAAAAGUAUAGGGGAAGUGGGAAGGGUAGGGGAAAGGUAAUAAGGGAAAAGAAAAAAAUGAGAAGAAGAAAAAAUAGAAAUAAAGUAUUUGCAAAUAGGGAAGGGAGGAGUGGGUGAAGGGAGGGCAGGGGUAAGGGGAAAAAUGAGAACCAAGACCUGUUAUGUAAAGGUACAACUUCCCAAUGAUGAAUGCAACUACUUUGUACACCUAAAAUGCACCAAUAAACUCAAUGUGAAAAAAACAAAGAAAACAGAAGAUGUCACCAUAAUCUCUCCAGUUCCUUUUUAUUAAGCAACUAAAGAAUAUACAUG